AGAGUUUGAUCAUGGCUCAGAUUGAACGCUGGCGGCAGGCCUAACACAUGCAAGUCGAGCGGUAGCACAGAGAGCUUGCUCUCGGGUGACGAGCGGCGGACGGGUGAGUAAUGUCUGGGAAACUGCCUGAUGGAGGGGGAUAACUACUGGAAACGGUAGCUAAUACCGCAUAAUGUCGCAAGACCAAAGUGGGGGACCUUCGGGCCUCAUGCCAUCAGAUGUGCCCAGAUGGGAUUAGCUAGUAGGUGGGGUAACGGCUCACCUAGGCGACGAUCCCUAGCUGGUCUGAGAGGAUGACCAGCCACACUGGAACUGAGACACGGUCCAGACUCCUACGGGAGGCAGCAGUGGGGAAUAUUGCACAAUGGGCGCAAGCCUGAUGCAGCCAUGCCGCGUGUGUGAAGAAGGCCUUCGGGUUGUAAAGCACUUUCAGCGGGGAGGAAGGCAGUGAGGUUAAUAACCUCAUCGAUUGACGUUACCCGCAGAAGAAGCACCGGCUAACUCCGUGCCAGCAGCCGCGGUAAUACGGAGGGUGCAAGCGUUAAUCGGAAUUACUGGGCGUAAAGCGCACGCAGGCGGUCUGUCAAGUCGGAUGUGAAAUCCCCGGGCUCAACCUGGGAACUGCAUUCGAAACUGGCAGGCUAGAGUCUUGUAGAGGGGGGUAGAAUUCCAGGUGUAGCGGUGAAAUGCGUAGAGAUCUGGAGGAAUACCGGUGGCGAAGGCGGCCCCCUGGACAAAGACUGACGCUCAGGUGCGAAAGCGUGGGGAGCAAACAGGAUUAGAUACCCUGGUAGUCCACGCCGUAAACGAUGUCGAUUUGGAGGUUGUGCCCUUGAGGCGUGGCUUCCGGAGCUAACGCGUUAAAUCGACCGCCUGGGGAGUACGGCCGCAAGGUUAAAACUCAAAUGAAUUGACGGGGGCCCGCACAAGCGGUGGAGCAUGUGGUUUAAUUCGAUGCAACGCGAAGAACCUUACCUGGUCUUGACAUCCACAGAACUUUCCAGAGAUGGAUUGGUGCCUUCGGGAACUGUGAGACAGGUGCUGCAUGGCUGUCGUCAGCUCGUGUUGUGAAAUGUUGGGUUAAGUCCCGCAACGAGCGCAACCCUUAUCCUUUGUUGCCAGCGGUUCGGCCGGGAACUCAAAGGAGACUGCCAGUGAUAAACUGGAGGAAGGUGGGGAUGACGUCAAGUCAUCAUGGCCCUUACGACCAGGGCUACACACGUGCUACAAUGGCAUAUACAAAGAGAAGCGACCUCGCGAGAGCAAGCGGACCUCAUAAAGUAUGUCGUAGUCCGGAUUGGAGUCUGCAACUCGACUCCAUGAAGUCGGAAUCGCUAGUAAUCGUAGAUCAGAAUGCUACGGUGAAUACGUUCCCGGGCCUUGUACACACCGCCCGUCACACCAUGGGAGUGGGUUGCAAAAGAAGUAGGUAGCUUAACCUUCGGGAGGGCGCUUACCACUUUGUGAUUCAUGACUGGGGUGAAGUCGUAACAAGGUAACCGUAGGGGAACCUGCGGUUGGAUCACCU
rnacentral:rRNA from 1 species